rnacentral:sRNA from 1 species
AACCCACUACUAAAGUAGCGGGCUUGCGGUGCAAACCGUAAGCAUGGUUGAUUAGCCUCAGUCAGCUUCGGCUGGCUACGUUACCGCUGAAUAGAUAGGUACUCUGGAAUGCCACCCUAGUUUCAGACUCUA